AGUGAACGCUGGCGGUAGGCCUAACACAUGCAAGUCGAACGGCAGCACAGUAAGAGCUUGCUCUUACGGGUGGCGAGUGGCGGACGGGUGAGGAAUACAUCGGAAUCUACUUUUUCGUGGGGGAUAACGUAGGGAAACUUACGCUAAUACCGCAUACGACCUACGGGUGAAAGCAGGGGAUCUUCGGACCUUGCGCGAUUGGAUGAGCCGAUGUCGGAUUAGCUAGUUGGCGGGGUAAAGGCCCACCAAGGCGACGAUCCGUAGCUGGUCUGAGAGGAUGAUCAGCCACACUGGAACUGAGACACGGUCCAGACUCCUACGGGAGGCAGCAGUGGGGAAUAUUGGACAAUGGGCGCAAGCCUGAUACAGCCAUACCGCGUGGGUGAAGAAGGCCUUCGGGUUGUAAAGCCCUUUUGUUGGGAAAGAAAAGCAGCAGGUUAAUACCCCGCUGUUCUGACGGUACCCAAAGAAUAAGCACCGGCUAACUUCGUG
rnacentral:rRNA from 1 species